rnacentral:lncRNA from 1 species
CCACGUCACUUAAUAUUUCACUUUAUAACAAACUCCUUUUGGUGCUUUGAAGCAAGAUAGGUAGUAGAUCAGCAUGCUGUUGAGAAGGGACUUAAUUAGUGUGCAUCCUCCAACAGGAGAUAGGAUCUUAUCUUUCCAGUAUGAAAGCUUGCUCUGUAUUUUAUCCACAAUCGGCUGAAAAAACACUUAGUUUUAUCAUGUAUGUUCCCAAAAUAGAAACCUAAAUACCUUCCAGGCUUUGAGACGAUCUUCAUACCCAAAAUUCUUUGGAACAUUCUUUUAAAUCUACGGUGAUAUUUCAG